rnacentral:rRNA from 1 species
UGACGGUACCCUACUAGAAAGGAGCCGCUAACUUCGUGCCAGAAGCGUCGGUAAUACGGGGGCUCCAAGCGUUAUCCGGUGUUAUUGGGCGUAAAGAGUCGUGUAGGUGGUUGGGUAAGUUAUCUUUCAAAUAUCUUUGCUUAACAAAGAGGAGGGGGAUAAUACUGCUCGACUAGAAUUUUCUCAAGGGAGAUCGGAACUGAGGGAGGAGUAGUGAAAUGCGUUGAUACCCUCGGGAACACCAGUGGCGUAGGCGGAUCUCUGGGAGAAGAUUGACACUGAGACACGAAAGCUAGGGGAGCGAAGCAGAUUAGAGACCUGCGUAGUCCUAGCCGUAAACGCAUGCUUGCUAGCUGCAUGAAUCUACCUUCGGGUGGUAUCGUGUGGCGAAGGUAACCCGUUAAGCAAGCCGCCUGGAAAGUACGGCCGCAAGGCUGAAAUUCAAAGGAAUUGGCGGGGAGGCACACAACCAGUGGAACAUGUGGUUUAAUUCGAGACUAACCGAAGAACCUCACCAGGGUUUGACAUGUAGCUGCACGUCUUAAGAAUUAAGACUCUCUUGAAGGUGCUACACAGGUGCUGCAUGGCUGUCGUCAGCUCGUUCCGUGAGGAGUGCCCUUAAGUGGGACAACGAGCGCAACCCCUAUUACAUGUUAGAAAUGUCAUGUAAGACUGCCUUGCCAUUUGGCGGGGAGGAAGGAGGGGCAGACGUCAAGUCCGCAUGGUCCUUAUGCCCUGGGCUACACACAUGUUACAAUGAGUACGGCAAUGAGUCUGUCGCGAGCACGUAAGUGUAAGCUAAUCUCUUAAAUGUACUCUCAGUGGGGAUUGAGGUCUGCAACUCGACCUCAUGAACACGGAAUUGGUAGUAAUCGCGGGUCAGCUAUACCGCGGUGAAUACGUUCUUGCCUCUUGCACACACCGCCCGUCAAACCAGCAAAGUCGAUUGUAUCCGAACCU